CCGGCCCUCCUUGGGGCGGUGCCGAGCCCCGGGAUCUGUGGGGAGUCGCGGGCCCGCCGGCGAAGAGGGCGGAAUAGGGAGUGAAGCAAGGGGGCGGCAACCGACUGGGCGCUCGGCCUUGGGUCCCGGCCCAGAAAAGAGAACGCGGAAGGGACCUGGUCCUGGGGCCGGUACUAGGCCAGAGAGGGAAGAGGGGAGAAAAACCCCGCGCACUGGGCCAGCCCAUGCCCCUCGGGGUCAGGAGAAAUCUGUUUGGGUUUGUGAGCCCCUCUGCGUGGAUUUAAAAAUAUGUACAUUUUAAAAACCAUUGACUUGUCAAGCCCCGCCAGAGGCCCAGACUCCCCCGCAGCCGGAGCUGCUGAGAUGUCUGUUCUUCGCUUCCCUCCCACUCCUACCACCUCCAGCUCCCCUCCUCCUCCCUUCCGUUGAGAACAAGGAAUUUCCAGCCCUUAGCAAAUGGAGAGAGAAACAAAAAGACCAAGAUUAAGGGAAACUACGGAAAAACAACAAAGAGACAGAUUGGUAACAAAAUUUGGACAAGAUGGUUGGAUGGCAUCACCGACUCAAUGGUCAUGAAUUUGAACAAGCUCUGUGACAUGGUGAAGGACGGGGAAGCCUGGAUUGCUGUAGUUCACAGGGGUCACAAAGAGUCGGAUACAACUGAGCGACUGAACAACAAAAAUAACAACAAACUUUGAGUGGCACUGUUGUAGUUAAAAUUUGUUUCUUUUAUUUAAGUGAUAAGCAUAUGAGGUACUCUGUGAGCACAGAGGAUGGCCUUGUUUGUGUUUUUAUUUAUUUGGCUGUGUUGGGUCUUGUUUGCAGCACUUGGGAUCUUCAUUGCAUCAUAGGGGAUCGUUCACUCUGGGCAUGAACUCUCUAGUUGUGGCUUAUGGGCUAAGCUGCUCUGUGCCAUGUAGGAUCUUAGUUCCUCAACCAGGCAUCAAACCUGUGUCCCCUGUAUUGCAAGGUGCAUUCUUAACCACUAGACUACCAGGAAAGUCCCCAAAUUUGUUUCUAUACAUCUGUAUUUAGGUGAUAUUAGGACCGUGGGCCAUAAAGUAUCACAGGAGAUACCAUGGAACCAUAAAGACUUUUACAUGGGAGUGACAUGGUCAGAUCUGUAUUUAGGAGUGGUAUGGAGAAAAGGUUUUAUGGAUGUUAAAACUGCAGAGAGGCCAACUUGAAGGAAACAGAAGUGCUCUGAGAAAGAUGGCAAGGUGCUAGACUAAAUCACUGGUGCUGGAGAUGGAGAGGAAAGGACAGAUUUAAAAGAUAGUCAUCGGGGCUUCCCUGGUGGCUCAGAGGUAAAGAAUCCACCUGCCAAUGCAGGAGCCAUGGGUUCUAUCACUGACCCACAUGCUGCAGGGCGACUAACCUUGCUCUGCAACUACUGAGCCCGUGUUGAAGAGCCUAGGAGCCACAACUACUGAAGCCGCAGGGCCCUAGAGGCUGUGCUCUACAAGAGAAGCCUCUGCAGGAAGCCUACACACAGCAACUAGAGCAUAGCCCCUGUUCGCUGCAACUAGAGAAAAGUCCACACAGCAAUGAAGACCCAGCAUAGUGAAAACUCCAAUACAUAGAGAAUUAUUUUUCAAAAAAAACUUAAAAAAAUCAUCAUUGGGUAAUAUGAAUAGGAUUUGAUGAUUGGCUAAAGGGUUGGGCGAAGAGAAGAGUUUAGAGUAAUUCUCAGGCUUCUGGCUUGGGUGACUGAGUGGAUACAAAGGAGCAUUGUCAUCAGAUAGGCACCAUCUGCAGUCUUUUUCCUAAGUUAAGAAAGUUACGAAAACCAAAAAUUUUCAUAUCUCUUUUGACUACAAAACCUAAU
ensembl:lncRNA